ACUCCUACGGGAGGCAGCAGUGGGGAAUAUUGCACAAUGGGGGAAACCCUGAUGCAGCCAUGCCGCGUGUGUGAAGAAGGCCUUCGGGUUGUAAAGCACUUUCAGUAGGGAGGAAGGUAGUGUAGUUAACACCUGCAUUAUUUGACGUUACCUACAGAAGAAGCACCGGCUAACUCCGUGCCAGCAGCCGCGGUAAUACGGAGGGUGCGAGCGUUAAUCGGAAUUACUGGGCGUAAAGCGCAUGCAGGCGGCCUGUUAAGUCAGAUGUGAAAGCCCGGGGCUUAACCUCGGAAUUGCAUUUGAAACUGGCAGGCUAGAGUCUUGUAGAGGGGUUAGAAUUUCAGGUGUAGCGGUGAAAUGCGUAGAGAUCUGAAGGAUACCAGUGGCGAAGGCGGCCCCUGGACAAAGACUGACGCUCAGAUGCGAAAGCGUGGGAGCAAACAGGAUUAGAUACCCCG
rnacentral:rRNA from 1 species